UACGUAGGGUGCGAGCGUUAAUCGGAAUUACUGGGCGUAAAGCGUGCGCAGGCGGUUUUGUAAGCCAGAUGUGAAAUCCCCGGGCUUAACCUGGGAAUGGCAUUUGGGACUGCAAGGCUGGAGUGCGGCAGAGGAGACUGGAAUUCCUGGUGUAGCAGUGAAAUGCGUAGAUAUCAGGAGGAAUACCGAUGGCGAAGGCAGGUCGUCUGGGCUGACACUGACGCUCAUGCACGAAAGCGUGGGGAGCGAAACAACGGAUUGAGAA
rnacentral:rRNA from 1 species